rnacentral:rRNA from 1 species
GCAAGGUUGAAACUCAAAGGAAUUGACGGGGACCCGCACAAGCGGUGGAUGAUGUGGUUUAAUUCGAUGCAACGCGAAAAACCUUACCUACCCUUGACAUGCCAGGAAUCCCGCAGAGAUGUGGGAGUGCUCGAAAGAGAACCUAGACACAGGUGCUACAUGGCCGUCGUCAGCUCGUGUCGUGAGAUGUUGGGUUAAGUCCCGCAACGAGCGCAACCCUUGUCAUUAGUUGCUACGAAAGGGCACUCUAAUGAGACUGCCGGUGACAAACCGGAGGAAGGUGGGGAUGACGUCAGGUCAUCAUGGCCCUUAUGGGUAGGGCUACACACGUCAUACAAUGGCCGGGACAGAGGGCUGCCAACCCGCGAGGGGGAGCUAAUCCCAGAAACCCGGUCGUAGUCCGGAUCGUAGUCUGCAACUCGACUGCGCGAAGUCGGAAUCGCUAGUAAUCGCGGAUCAGCUUGCCGCGGUGAAUACGUUCCCGGGUCUUGUACACACCGCCCGUCACACCAUGGGAGCGGGUUCUGCCAGAAGUAGUUAGCCUAACCGCAAGGAGGGCGAUUACCACGGCAGGGUUCGUGACUGGGGUGAAGUCGUAACAAGGUAGCCGUAUCGGAAGGUGCGGCUGGAUCACCUCCUU